rnacentral:rRNA from 1 species
GCUCAGAACGAACGCUGGCGGCGGGGUUUAGGCAUGCAAGUCGCGCGUGAACGUCCUUCGGGGCUAUUAGCGCGGCGAAAGUGUGAGUAAUGCUUCGUUAAUGUACCCAUGGGACCGGGAUAAUUCCUGGAAACGGGUUGUAAUACCCGGAUGAGACCCCAGGCACCACGGUGCCGGUGGUCAAAGGCAUGUUGCUUUCGGGCGCAUGCGCCGAUGGAGCGGACGAAGUCUGAUUAGCUUGUUGGUGGGGUCACGGCCUACCAAGGCGAUGAUCAGUAGCGGGCCUGAGAGGGUGGCCCGCCACACUGGGACUGAGACACUGCCCAGACUCCUACGGGAGGCUGCAGUCGCGAAUCAUUCACAAUGGACGGAAGUCUGAUGAUGCCACGCCGCGUGCGGGAAGAAGGCCUUCGGGUUGUAAACCGCUGUCGAGAGGGGGGAAGUAUUGACUGCCCUCUGGAGGAAGCCCCGGCUAAACACGUGCCAGCAGCCGCGGUAAUACGUGUGGGGCAAGCGUUGUUCGGAAUCACUGGGCUUAAAGGGUGCGUAGGCGGCCUAUCAAGUCAGGGGUGAAAUCCCGCGGCCCAACCGUGGAAUUGCCUUUGAUACUGGUGGGCUUGAGUGUGCCGGGGGUGAGCGGAACGUGUGGUGUAGCGGUGAAAUGCGUAGAUAUCACACGGAAGGCCGGAGCCGAAGGGGGCUCACUGGGGCACAACUGACGCUGAGGCACGAAAGCGUGGGGAGCAAACAGGAUUAGAUACCCUGGUAGUCCACGCCGUAAACGAUGAGCACUAGG